CCGCACGGGUGAGUAACGCGUAUGCAACCUACCUAUCAGGAGGGGAUAACCCGGCGAAAGUCGGACUAAUACCGCAUAAAACAGGGGUUCCACAUGGAAAUAUUUGUUAAAGAAUUAUCGCUGAUAGAUGGGCAUGCGUUCCAUUAGAUAGUUGGUGAGGUAACGGCUCACCAAGUCUACGAUGGAUAGGGGUUCUGAGAGGAAGGUCCCCCACACUGGUACUGAGACACGGACCAG
rnacentral:rRNA from 1 species